CAUCGAUACUUGUGCUUACACCGUUGCUCGACAAAUCCUUCUCAGUCUGAAUUAUUCAAUGCCCUUGGCAAGACAAGAUGUACUUAUGAAAGAAGGAUUUGCAAUAUACUAGAUGUGCAAAAAGAAUACUACGGUCGGCUAUCGGAGAGCAUCAAAGCAACUUAAACAUUGGGGUAUGGAAGUAUGUUAUUUGUUUAUUACGGCUACCAAUCGACAUCGAUAAAUUUGGUUUUUUUUGUCACUUGUUUUGUUUCAAAUGACAACCCUUGGCCAUAACAACGGGAGGUUUCCAUUUUUGUUAUGUGAAAUAGCG